rnacentral:rRNA from 1 species
UACGUAGGGGGCAAGCGUUGUCCGGAAUUAUUGGGCGUAAAGCGCGUGUAGGCGGCUCGGUAAGUCUGCUGUGAAAGUCCAAGGCUCAACCUUUGAAUGUCAGUGGAUACUGCCGGGCUAGAGUCCGGAAGAGGCGAGUGGAACUCCUGGUGUAGCGGUGGAAUGCGCAGAUAUCAGGAAGAACACCAACGGCGAAGGCAGCUCGCUGGGACGGUACUGACGCUGAGACGCGAAAGCGUGGGGAGCGAACAGG